UGAGCAACCUGCCCUUGACCCUGGAAUAACAGCUGGAAACAGCUGCUAAUACCGGAUAUGACCUCCGAUGGCAUCAUCUGGAGGUGGAAAGCUCCGACGGUCAAGGAUGGGCUCGCGGCCUAUCAGCUUGUUGGUGAGGUAACGGCUCACCAAGGCUUCGACGGGUAGCCGGCCUGAGAGGGCGACCGGCCACACUGGGACUGAGAUACCGGCCCAGACCUCUACGGGAA
rnacentral:rRNA from 1 species